rnacentral:lncRNA from 1 species
GAGUAGAACUUAAUUAUCUUAACGGGAAGCUGGGAUUACUUGGUGUGAGUCACAAAGAGAAGCACUUCACACUGUGCGCUGAAUACAGCUGAGGUGAACGGUUUUCCAUUAAAACCAGCACGGCCCCGGCUGCCUGCUGCCGGCCGCAGCCAGCGUGGGGAGCAGCAUGUCUGACAAGGGCAAUUGGCGCCGGGCUUCAAUAACAGCUCUGCAGCCAGCAGAAAGCCUACUGCUGCUGCCGUUUUUAAGAGAGGAGUUUAAUGGUCCCUGACAAUGAUGUUUCUCCCUUUUAAGGUAGCAAGGAAGAAACUCUAUGUUUAAAGACAGGCUCAUGCUCUCCCUUAGAAGCCCUUGAAGGACAGGAGAUGCUCGAAGGUCCUGGUGACCGGCCGUGUGGAGGAGCUGGCUUGGCCAAUGCUUGCUCGUGGCGGAAGUAUCAUCAAUUCUGAGGGGACCCCUGGAUGCCAGAGAUCCUGUAACUAAGGGCACACAUUUCACUUCUGGUUAGUAACACUACCUGCAACCAUCUCCUCUGGCUGACGUGAGAUAAGGCUGCUCCUCUGGAUCCUUCUACCCCACAAGCUGAUGUGGGUGGCUGGCAAGGAGGGCAAGGCUGGCAAUGGGAAGGGUUAGCUGCUGUUCUUCGCUGUGCUGCCAUGGGAAAUACACUGUGAACAAGGGUCUUUUCUGUAACAAGCAGGCUCUCUCCCUCUUGAGCCUUGAAAACACGGCUUCUGCUUUGCUCUACUUCAGUUUUCUGAGGAGCCCAUCCUUUGGUGGAUAGCAGCAUCGGAUUUAGCAGGGGUCAGAGGAGCUUCAGCCUGAUGUGAGGAGCAUCUAAAAUCUUCACCAAGAUCAUGCGUUUUCCCUGGGGUGUUCUUUCCUGGAUGUCUGUGGCCACCAUAUGAGCAGCGAGAUCAGCCCAAGGUGCAGCUUCUCUGAGGAGGGAAGGCCGAGUGCCAUGUCAUCCUGAGGCUUUGGGCUGGUCUGACCCCAGGAGCCAAGCUGAAGCCAUUCCAGUGAGCCAAGCAGUACUGCCUUUGGUAUCCUUUCUCGGCAGCUUGCCUUCUGUUUUAAAGCACAUGGUGCUUCCUGGAUGAAUGUCUUUUG